AAGUCGUAACAAGGUUUCCGUAGGUGAACCUGCGGAAGGAUCAUUAACAAAUUCAAAAACUCGUGUUCACGGUGUGCUUGUCUGGGUGGUUUGGCUGCGGCCGGCCGCCUAACAGUCCCGUGGUCUAUAACACAAACAUACACAUCUUGAUGGACAACACCUAGUGAUUCAGCUAGCAGCAAUGAGAAACAACUUUUAACAAUGGAUCUCUUGGCUCUU
rnacentral:misc_RNA from 1 species